rnacentral:rRNA from 1 species
GAUGAACGCUGGCGGCGUGCCUAACACAUGCAAGUCGAGCGAGAAGCAGAGGUUAGAAGCUUCGGCAGAAAACAACUGUGGAAAGCGGCGGACGGGUGAGUAUCGCGUAGGCAACCUGCCCUGUACAGGAGGAUAGCCACAGGAAACUGUGAUUAAUACUCCAUAAAGCCGGAAGAUCACAUGAGAAACCGGCCAAAGAUUUAUCGGUAUGGGAUGGGCCUGCGUCUGAUUAGCUAGUUGGUGGGUAACGGCUCACCAAGGCUGCGAUCAGUAGCCGACCUGAGAGGGUAAUCGGUCACAUUGGAACUGAGACACGGUCCAAACUCCUACGGGAGGCAGCAGUGGGGAAUAUUGCACAAUGGGGGAAACCCUGAUGCAGCAACGCCGCGUGAAGGAAGAAGAUCUUCGGAUCGUAAACUUCUGUCCUUAGGGAAGAAAAAAAUGACGGUACCUAAGGAGGAAGCCCCGG